UACGUAGGUGGCGAGCGUUGUCCGGAUUUACUGGGCGUAAAGGGAGCGUAGGCGGAUUUUUAAGUGAGAUGUGAAAUACUCGGGCUCAACUUGAGUGCUGCAUUCCAAACUGGAAGUCUAGAGUGCAGGAGAGGAGAAUGGAAUUCCUAGUGUAGCGGUGAAAUGCGUAGAGAUUAGGAAGAACACCAGUGGCGAAGGCGAUUCUCUGGACUGUAACUGACGCUGAGGCUCGAAAGCGUGGGGAGCAAACAGG
rnacentral:rRNA from 1 species